rnacentral:rRNA from 1 species
GCGGUAAUACGUACUGGUGCGUGCGUUAUCCGGAAUUAUUGGGCGUAAAGAGCUCGUAGGCGGUUCGUCGCGUCUUUCGUGAAAGUCCGGGGCUUAACCCCGGAUCUGCGGUGGGUACGGGCAGACAAAAGUGCAGGAGGGGAGACCUGCCUGGCGUGGCGUAGGAGUGCGCAUGUGCUCAAUAUCAGCGACGAACAGCGAAUGGCCGAGUCGCAGGUCUCUGGGCUGUACUGACGCUGAGGAGCGAAAGCAUGGUGACAAACAAGAUUAUAUACUUGCUGGUAGUCCAUGCCGUAAACGUUGGGCACUAGGUGUGGGGACCAUUCCCCCGGUUCCGGCGCCGCAUCUAAACGUAUUAGAGUGCCCCGCCUGGGGAGUACGGCCGCAAGGCUAAAACUCAAAGGAAUUGACGGGGGCCCGCACAAGCGGCGGAGCAUUGCGGAUUAAUUCGAUGCAACGCGAAGAACCUUACCAAGGCUUGACAUGUUCUCGAUCGCCGUAGAGAUACGGUUUCCCCUUUGGGGCGGGUUCACAGGUGGUGCAUGGUUGUCG